rnacentral:rRNA from 1 species
UACAGAGGUCCCAAGCGUUGUUCGGGUUCAUUGGGCGUAAAGGGUGCGUAGGCGGCGCGGUAAGUCGGGUGUGAAAUCUCGGAGCUUAACCUCGAGCUGUCGGCGGAAACCAUCUGGCUAGAGUCCGGAAGAGGAGAAUGGAAUUCCCGGUGUAGCGGUGAAAUGCGCAGAUAUCGGGAAGAACACCCGUGGCGAAGGCGGUUCUCUGGGACGGUACUGACGCUGAGACGCGAAAGCGUGGGGAGCGAACAGG